rnacentral:rRNA from 1 species
UGAGGAAUAUUGGUCAAUGGUCGAGAGACUGAACCAGCCAAGUCGCGUGAAGGAUGAUUGCCCUAUGGGCUGUAAACUUUUUUUACAAGGGAAUAAAAUGAGAUACGUGUAUUUUAUUGCAUGUACCUUUGGAAUAAGCAUCGUCUAACUUCGUGCAAGCAGCCGCGGUAAUACGGAUGAUGAGAGCGUUAUUCGGAUUUAGUGGGUUUAAAGGGUGCGUAGGUAGGCUGUUAAGUCAGCGGUGAAAGUUUGUCGCUUAACGAUAAAAUUGCCGUUGAAACUGGUACUUUUGAGUAUAGAUGAAGUAGGCGGAAUUCUUGGUGUAGCGGUGAAAUGCAUAGAGAUCGCUCAUAACUCCAAUUGCAAAGGUAGCUUGCUAAGGUAUAACUGACACUGAAGCACGAAAGCGUGGGUAUCAAACAGG